rnacentral:rRNA from 1 species
UACAGAGGGUGCGAGCGUUGUCCGGAAUCACUGGGCGUAAAGGGCGCGUAGGUGGCGCCCCAAGUCGAUGGUGAAAGCUCGCCGCUCAACGGCGAGUCGGCCACCGAUACUGGGGGGCUUGAGCACUGUAGAGGCAGAUGGAAUUCCGGGUGUAGCGGUGGAAUGCGUAGAGAUCCGGAAGAACACCGGUGGCGAAGGCGGCCUGCUGGGCAGUUGCUGACACUGAGGCGCGACAGCGUGGGGAGCAAACAGG